UACGAAGGGUGCUAGCGUUAUUCGGAAUUACUGGGCGUAAAGGGCGCGUAGGCGGCCUGCUAAGUCACACGUGAAAUCCCUCGGCUCAACCGGGGAACUGCGUGUGAUACUGGCGGGCUUGAAUUCGGGAGAGGGAUGUGGAAUUCCAGGUGUAGCGGUGAAAUGCGUAGAUAUCUGGAGGAACACCGGUGGCGAAGGCGGCAUCCUGGACCGAGAUUGACGCUGAGGCGCGAAAGCUAGGGUAGCAAACGGG
rnacentral:rRNA from 1 species